rnacentral:rRNA from 1 species
AUUGAACGCUGGCGGCAUGCCUUACACAUGCAAGUCGAACGGUAACGGGCCUUCGGGUGCCGACGAGUGGCGAACGGGUGAGUAAUGUAUCGGAACGUGCCCAGUAGUGGGGGAUAGCCCGGCGAAAGCCGGAUUAAUACCGCAUACGACCUACGGGUGAAAGGGGGGGAUCGCAAGACCUCUCGCUAUUGGAGCGGCCGAUAUCCGAUUAGGUAGUUGGUGGGGUAAAGGCCUACCAAGCCUGCGAUCUGUAGUUGGUCUGAGAGGACGACCAGCCACACUGGGACUGAGACACGGCCCAGACUCCUACGGGAGGCAGCAGUGGGGAAUUUUGGACAAUGGGCGCAAGCCUGAUCCAGCAAUGCCGCGUGCAGGAAGAAGGCCUUCGGGUUGUAAACUGCUUUUGUCAGGGAAGAAAUCCUCUGGGUUAAUACCUCGGGGGGAUGACGGUACCUGAAGAAUAAGCACCGGCUAACUACGUGCCAGCCGCCGCCGUAAGAC